rnacentral:rRNA from 1 species
GGACUGUAGGCUGCAACCCGCCUACAUGAAGUCGGAAUUGCUAGUAAUCGCGGAUCAGCAUGCCGCGGUGAAUACGUUCCCGGGCCUUGUACACACCGCCCGUCACACCAUGGGAGUUGGUAACACCCGAAGUCAGUAGCCUAACCGCAAGGAGGGCGCUGCCGAAGGUGGGAUCGAUGACUGGGGUGAAGUCGUAACAAGGUACC